CUCGCUGAGGACGCUCUGUGGGGAAGCUUGUUCCAGAAUGGAAGGGGUUUGUCCUGUUUAGAAAAAAAAAAAAUGAGAUGUCUGUGACAGUGCCAGAGACCCUAUCCAGGCACACUCUGUGUCUUUGAUCACUGGGACUUCCUGGGAGUCCAUGAUUCCAUCCCUGCUGUGUGGAUGUGAGGGAACGGGUCUAUACAGUGGAUGGGGUUGUUGAAAGCCACGACUUGCCAGAUGACUGGACAUAUCGUGAUUGGGGGUAGAUUAAAUUGGGGCAAGAGGGGAGCAAGAGAAUGAGUUGAAAACACAGACAAGGACUCCUUCCUCCUGUCGCCUGAGCAGCCAGCCACAGACUCCACCCUCCUAUCUCCUCGCCUCGUGCAUCACAACCACCUGGAAGGCUUGCCACACGCUGCUGUGCUUCACACCCAGGAACUCCGGAUUUGGGAGGUCUGGAGUAGAGCCUGAGAAUCUGCAUCUGUAAGAGGUUCUCAGAUUUGGAGGCAACUGGAGGCAACUUGGAGGGAACAUGGGUUGGGGCUGGCGAGUUAGAGUGGGUACCAGCGUCCUACAGAUCGCUUGUGAGAAACCUUCCUCUUGGUGGAGAGAAAAGCAAGAGAGAAAGGGCCCAAACUGUAGCAACAAGG
rnacentral:lncRNA from 1 species